rnacentral:misc_RNA from 1 species
AUGACAACGUGGGCAGUCAGGUGUUGGGGCUGAUAGUAGUCGGUGGUGGAAGGUGUUGCACUUCUAUACAACAAUUAUGUCAUGUAAAGAGCAAAUACAUAAUAUUGAAGAGAAUACGACGGAUGAAACUCUUAUUAAGAAAUGGAAAACUAAUAAGAGAAGGUGGAGGCUGACGAGUGAGGAGCGUUGGUGGGUCUGUUACAUCACCCUCACCAUGCUGGCCCUCACUACCCGCCAGGCCUCCCUCGACCAGCCCUCGGGAACACUGUGGGACGAGGUUCACUUUGGUACGUUCGCUAACCACUACAUAAACAGAACCUUCUACCAUGACGUUCACCCUCCCCUGGGCAAGAUGGUGAUCGCGGGGGCAGCUUGGCUCUCUGGGUAUAAUGGGAGCUUUGAGUUCACCCAAGGCAAGAGAUACACCCCUGAUAUAAACUAUGUGGCCAUGAGAUCCAUGAUGGCAGUGUUGGGGUCGUCACUAGUGCCAUUAAGCUUCCUGCUGGUGUGGGAACUGUCUGCCUCCCUUGGUGCCUCCAGCCUCGCCGCCCUCUGUAUCCUGACGGACACGUUUAUUCACCGCCUCAACACCCUGAUACUGCUGGACCCUCCACUGCUGGCGUCUAUCUUGGCCUCAGUCUACUGCAUCACCAAGUUCCAUAACCAGAGACACAGGGCGUGGGGAUGGGCGUGGUGGGCGUGGUUGUGUCUCACGGGCGUUUGUCUGGGCACGGUGAUGAGUGUCAAGUACGUGGGCGUGUUUACUGUGGGAUUCGUCGGCUGCCACACGGUCUAUCAACUAUGCUGCCUCGCCGGGGACCCCCACACCCCUCUGUGGAAGGUGUUGCCUCAUACAGGAGCGCGGGCCGUAGCUCUCAUCAUCCUUCCCACCCUCGUUUAUAUCUCAUCCUUCGUCGUUCACUUCUGGAUUCUUAAAUCUUGGAACCCCAACGCAGGAGGGUUUUAUCACACCAAGUUCUUCGCAGCGUUUGACAACACGGAGUACGACAACCUAACCCUUCCUGAAUAUGUGCAAUAUGGCGCCAACUUGACCAUCCAGAGCAGCCGACCCAUCUGUGGCUUCCUCGAGUCUUGGUUCGAUCUCUUCCCCUCGGAGUGGACAGCCCCCUGCCAACAAGUGACCACCUCUACUCUUAGGGACCACGAGGCCCUCUCCUGGAUAAUCAAGAAGGUAGACUUAGAUGCUGGGGCUGUGAUAGAUGGGAAGGACCCGCAGCAGGAGGUGGUAUUGGUGCGUAAUGGUGACUAUGUGAUGCUGACCCACGCAGAGACUGGCCGCUCCCUGCGCUCACAUGGCCACCGGGCGCCCAUCACCAAGAGGCACUUCCAAGUCUGUGGUUACGGUGAUGACGGUGCUGGUGGGCCGUUCGAGACGUGGCAACUGUUAAUACCCGGGGAGGAGGUCGGGGUGCCCCUCACCACCAUUAGUCACGAUUUCCUGUUGAAACACUACAAGAUGAACUGUUACCUCAAGGCCAACGAGAAGGUCAAGCUACCCCCAUGGGCGUUCAAAGGGGCGAAGGAGGUGACGUGUACCAAGAACCGUGAGCAGCCCGGGAUUGAGUGGCACAUCAACUGGAACGUCAGCCCCAUGGUGAACAAGACGAUAUCGGUGAGGGACAAGACGGUGGGUUUGUGGGGCAAGAUCUUCUUCCAACACCUUAACAUGUUUAUCGGGAACGCCGUCCUCAUCACUGGUGACGACAAUGACCGUAACGCCAGACCCUGGAUGUGGCCUACAAAUUGGCAGAUCCAGCUGUUGGGGUCAUUCCCGGAGAACAAGACUGCUGAAGGCGGAGGUGAGGACGUAUACGCUGUAGGCAUGACCAACCCUUUACUCACCUACCUCAACCUGAUGGGUCUGGGAGGCGUCUUAGUGCUGAGCCUCGCCCACAGCUACUGCAAGUCCCGCUGCCCACACCAGGAUCCUGCCCUUGUUGAAGCUCGAGGGAGGACCUUGGUGACGUGCUGGUGGUUGUUGUUGUGUUGGGCCAUCCACUACCUGCCCUUCUUCUUUAUGAGUCGUGUCCUCUACUACCACCACUACUGCCCCUCCUACCUCUUCUCCUGUAUGAUUACUGGAGUGUUGUUGUCAUGGAUUUGCGAGACUUUAUCCAGGAAGGUUAGAGAUGACCUCCGUGAGGAGUUCUUGGGAGCGCUGCUCCUGGUGCCCGUCUCCGCCCUCUUGGCCUCCUACAUCUACUUCUGGCCUCUAGCGACCUACAUGAGGGGCGAGAUCUUCGAAGCCAACCCAAGACUCAACCCCGGCCUCGACUUCUUCUACUUGGGUCAGCUGUGGCCUGAGUUUGGCUACAGGAAGAGCGAGUUUCAAACUAUAUCGACUACCUUGGUUGACCGCUGGUUGAAGGAUCAUCUGCACAACCCCGAUAUCAACGCCACCUUGUACUACACGACGCCUCUCGACAACACUGCCAGUCACCCCAGUGCCCUCCAGCCCGUCCCCGCCUCCAACUAUAGCCUCUGGACCCCUGGUGCUGUGGACCCUGUGGGGAUACUUUAACACUUAGAAUAUAUUCUUAGUUAAUUCAAUGAAAGUUAUUAAAGGUUUUACUUCCAUUAUUUAUAGAGACUGUAAGGUAUAAUACCAGAAAAUAUUUAACAUUUAUUUAGGAUGGGGUUCGACCGGAAAGGGAAAGUGACAUUGAAAACACUUUUUUCAUUAGUCUUUAAUAUGUACCAACAUAUAUCCCAGAUUUAUGAAACAAAAGACACAUUCUUUGGAUGGGGUUAACAGAACAGAUAAUCUUUAGUGUCCUUGAAAACAAAACAUGGAUUUUGUUUAAUAAAAAAAAUAAAUAAGCUCAAAAUUCUCUUAGGUCAAAACAGGCAGCGGAUGACCUACCAAACACAGGAUGACCCGCCUUUGGCCUUCACGCCGUCAAAACCACACAAUUGCUACAGUACGAACCACGUACAAAUUCCGAAAUAAAUCAUUCUAAGAA